GUGUGUGUGUGUGUGUAUGCAGGCGUGCAUGCGUAAGUGUGUGUGUGCACGGUCGGUACACAUUGACAAGUCAAAGUUGUAGAAGUGCAUAAGAAUAAAAAGCCAGCUCUAAUGAUCAGCUCUCUGUAGAGGAAUAGGUAUUGCAUCAAAACUAAUCAUAACAAUGCUUUCAUUUCUCUAACUCAAAGGUAGAUUAGUGUAUUUUCUCUGCUAUAUCUGUUAGCUAGAUACUACUUCUGAAGCUUUGGGGACAUUGUAAAAGACCAAUGUAAUGUAUUCUUAGAAAUGUACAGCACUGUCUCCAAAGCCAUGCACACUAGUAUAAAAUAUUGACGGAAGAGGCAUAUCUUUGGCCUUCUGAACAUUUAACCGUUUAGGCCUGAGUUUCUCUCGUAAUCCUUAGAGCUUGGCAUUCCAACACUUCAAAAAGGGCCAGUCCACGACUUGGCAGGUCUGACCAAAAAGGGCCAGUCCACGACUUGGCAGGUCUGACCAAAAAGGGCCAGUCCACGACUUGGCAGGUCUGACCAAAAAGGGCCAGUCCACGACUUGGCAGGUCUGACCAAAAAAAGAACAAACAAAAAAAAUCACAAAAGACUUAGAAAACCGUUGCAUUGAAAAAAAACAGCUAUCGGUCACUGAAAGUGAUACUGUAGUCUAUAUUUUCUAUUCUAUUUUCCUAAAUGUUCUCGUUUAACGAAAAGACAAAAAAGAAGAGUAUAUCUAUAUAAAUAUAUGACAGGCAGACAGACAGAAGGCCAGGCUAGUUGAAGGUAGAGAGAGUGUAGAACAGGGAAGCUAGGAACCUGGUUGCCCCCUUCUCUAGAUCUCUCCCCAAUGUCAUUCUGUGCCUUGGUGAGCCUUGGUGACUGUUGUCGUGUGCCCCCCUCCCUCCUCCUCCCUCCAUCCCUACUCAGGUCUUGACCCUGCUACACACUCCCCCAGCUCCACCCCCUUGCCCCCCAGCUCCACCCCUUUUCGGAGUAGAUGAACACUUUGUUUUAACCCCUUCCACCCCAAGCCAAAUGGUAAAUCUGUCUCCUCCCUGAGUGAAGAAGGGGCACGUGAAGAACUGAUUUUAGCCCCUUUUGCCUCCAUCGAGUACUCCUCAAGGUGUACCCCUGGUGCGGUUGCCAGGUACGCCCUACCCACUUGACGCCAGCCUGCCACGCCGCUUAAAGUCAACACUGACCAUACUGGUAACUCCCGAUGGCAGCUUCCAUUCACUCGCCCUGGCUGGUCAUUAUUGGGGUUCAAUCAGUCAACCUGAUUAGGGGUUUAAACUGCUUAUUUUGUUGUUGUGGCAGCCAUUUUGUUUUAGCUCUGUUUAUGAAAUGCACUUGUUUUUGAACAGGAAACCAUUGGGUGAGGAGAAGGGAGGAGAAAUCCAAUCAAUGAAGGCAGCUCGUGGUGUUCUCCUCCCUCCCUCCUCCCGGUGGCACCUUCCCUACUCUACUCUACUACCAUAGUUUUACCGUGACCCUGGUGGUCAUGGGGCGUCUCGAGACACAGCAAUAUGACCAUCUUGUGCUUUUUAAAGAGGAAGUGGGCGGUUGGUUGGUAGGCAGGCUUGGGUUUUAAAUUAAGAAGAAAUAGCCAGGUUCGUGCUUCGACUCUGUGGUUCAUUUUGUGACCAACAAUGUUAACAUUUCUGUUGAUGGAUUUGACCUCUGAACUCUCUCCAUACACUGAAGGAGGGCGAAAAGAAAGUAACCGAGAAAGAGACAGUUCUUGAGUUUACAUUCAUGUCAAGGACCUACGACUGUUAGGAGCACAGAUGUACUACUCUUUCAGUUUGCUUUUGAAAUGAACAACUGAGUCAAACUUGUCAAAUGAAAACUAAAUAUUGUCUUGCACAGAACCUCCCAUCAGCUAAUGUGAGGCAAUGAUUAAGUAAACGGAAACACACCUGGGCCAGGUAUGAGAUUUCUCAUGUUCAGCGACAUCAUUUUAUAAUGCACAUAGCGCACGUUCAGAAAGAGUGAGUGGUUGGAGGGCGGGUGUAUUAGCAGAGGAGGAUACUGAUUCAGAUACUGAAUGUAGGAGCAAAAGAAGUUGAAAAGACGUUAAGCAGACGUCUUUUUGGUUGAAAAAUGUAUAUUUUGUGUUGAAAAUGACUUUUUUGGUUGAAAAGACGUGGCCUUUUCAAAGCCUUGCGCUCACUAGGUUUCAGGGAAUAAGACUGCUGGAUGGUGGUUAUGGAAUUUCUUUCAAUGAUGUGCCUUGAAAAUAACUUUGUUUUCUUUUAACCAGAGAGAUUGUACUUAAAGUGUGACAGAGAUUGUCGAGCAAAUCACUUGGCGACAGGCAUUGAACACUAAAUGUGUUGAUUUGUGAAUGAGUUUGGAAACGCCUGGGGAAAGUAUGGGUUGAAAGAUGUGUGUUCGACUCUCAACCCUUUCACAAUGCAAAAACAACAUUAUUGUAAAAGUAAUCGAUGGUGCUGUCCAACAACUUUCCUUUAAACGUCAGAGCGGGGGGGGGUUGACACACUUAUCAAUCAAGAUGUGUUGACUUUUGUCGAAGCCGAGAGGUGGUUGAUCCCUGCUUUAAAAAUCAUCUAGUCUGAAAUUUAUCCAAGUGUGUUUGAUUUUUCUUUUCAAAGCACAAAAGCACAGCAAAAUGAUGAUUGAGUCUGUCUGCCAGGCUAUUGCUGCCAAGGGAGUCAGCAGGAGGGUGGGAGGGAGAGAUUGGGGUGAAAUAAGGUUGAGGCUCAGACCAAACAAGUGAAGCCUGUAUAGAGGCAAGGGGAAAGUCAACAGACUUAUACACUCAAACCUGGGUUCAAAUAGUAUUGUGAAAUCUCUGAAAACACUUUAGCUGUGUUUGAUUGUGGCUGUCUGCCUGUUUUUAAUGGAAUGGGCCCAAAAGAGCAAAUCCCACCCAUUUGGCUGGCAGGCAGACUUAACAAGCAAAGUAUUUGAAAUCUUCCUAUUUGAGCUCAGGUCUGACAGUUACUUUCAGAGACAAAUAGAACCCAUUCCUGUCCUCUGUCCUCUCCAAGUGCAGCUCUAUGAACAAACAAUCGAAUAAUGCCGUAACAAAAACCCGAUUCCUGCCAAAUAACUAGUCACUUUGAUUUCCUUUCCACCCCCUUGCGGACAGUCAUCAGACACCUAUGGAAUCCCAUCUUAAAUCAGCUUUAAUAGCAACAUGAAAUGUAGAUUUUAGUCCCAAAUGUAUCAUUGUCUCUCUUUUUAAUCCCUCUAACCCGUUACUGUCCUUUCUGUUUCUUUCUGUGUGACAUUGCUAGAGCACCGUCUGAAGAUAGGAAUGAUUUCUUUCCUCUUUUAUGUUAUGAGUUCUGCGAUCGUUCUCUUGUUGUCGUCGAGUUGGCAUGAGAGAACUCUUAGUCCCGAGGGUGUUGUGUGUCUCGUUGAUAGACAGUUUAGGGGCCUCGGAACUUUGGCCAGAGGGGAGGGGGGGGCUGGUUGAGAUUAGGUUCAGAGGGAGGGAGAGGAUGAAGGGGGCUGAGGGAGCUUGGCAUCGUAGUCGGGCAAAACACUGAGUAGGGAGAGUUCUGUGCCAGAGACCUGUGAAUAUGUUCCUUUAAUAGCAGAUGUUGUAAUAUGCUUUCAAAAGAUGUGCUAUAUUAUAUAAAUUCCUAUGUAUGGAUACAUGAGUUUACCUGGUGCUGGAUAACAUUUUGGCACACACUUGAAGGUAUUACGGUGUAUUCUUUAAUUGUAAUAUAAUUAAAAAAAUGUUUUUUACACAA